AUGUUUUCGCAGGGCGCCGCCGACGUUCCGUGCACUCUCCUCCACUUCGUGAACAACGAGUUGGUCGAUGUCGCCAAGGACAAAAUCGUUCAACCGGGCAACCCCUUGUUCCACGGUACCCAGAUGCCACCCAACUUGUUUAGGGUUCAACUGGUUCGGAUGCUGCCAGGCUGCGACGACUUGUUACCUCCGAUUCGACCCGUCGGGGCCGACGAUGAAGACGUGAUGACCCUCAGCGCCUGCCUGAGCUGGCCCCUGCUUUGGCCGAAGAGCCAGAUUCGUUUGGGGGCGGGGGACACCACCCCAAAGACAACACCGCCAGUCGUGCCGGCGCCAAGUCGGCCCCAUGGCAAGACCGCCGUAACGGUGCCGGACAUCCCUAUGCCACUGGAUCCAAACAUGCAUAUGGCACAGGAUCAGAACGACGACGACGACGAUGAUACAUUUGGCAAUGUCGAUCAGUACUUUGCCGAGCAUGGGUACGAUGGCGACUUCAUGGGGCCUCCUUCUCAAGAACCAAACCCAACAAAAGAUGUGUGCGAUCUAGCUCGUACCGCGGAGAAGCCAAGUUGCAACAGGCGCCGUCUGGCGUUCAGCUCUCAGGAGACGCCUCCAGCUGCCGACUUCACCGAGCCUCAGAUAGGCGAGGUGCGAAAUAUUAUCAGCCCCAACACACUCAAGAAGGCGGUCUGUGAGCAGAACUCGGUCCCAUUACAGGAGAAGAAGAAGGCACACAAAAGAAAGACUAAGAAGGGUGCGAGCCAGCCGGCACCGAGUAUGAUCCGUGCUCAGGACGGGCCACCUUCACUGCAGGAUAUCUCGAGGAGGGUGCAUGUGGCGGGUAGGGCGAUGCUACCGACAAAUAUGCUCAAUGCUGCAACCGGUGCGAUGCGGAGUCUGCAUGACAGUGUUCUUGCUUUGGAGAAGCGGCGUCUCAGAGAGAAGGAUGUGGCAUACCCGGUUUUCGCGGCCAAGGUGCCAGAGGGCAAGGGCUUUGUGGAUAACUCCAUCGGGCGUACGAUCGUCCUGCGUUUUGAUGACAUCCACGCUAUGUUGAACCUUCAUCCGCUGCACUACACCUUCGUUCGGCUAUUUUCGCUGAGUAUGGAGAUGCGGAUCAUUCGCGACAAGACCCCGGACAUCGUGAUAGUCGACCCCUUCUACAUGCGUGCCAAGAUCUUGGGCAGUGCUAGGGACCGGCAAGUCGCGAGUUCUUACCUCGAAGGCAUCAUUCUGGCAAACCAAGAUAAGGAUAACUUCCUCGUGCCUUACUUUCCCGAGUAA
rnacentral:rRNA from 1 species